GAAAUGCGAUAAGUAAUGUGAAUUGCAGAAUUCAGUGAAUCAUCGAAUCUUUGAACGCACAUUGCGCCCGCCAGUAUUCUGGCGGGCAUGCCUGUCCGAGCGUCAUUUCAACCAUCAAGCCCCCGGGCUUGUGUUGGGGAUCUGCGGCUGCCCGCAGGCCCUGAAAACCAGUGGCGGGCUCGCUGUCACACCGAGCGUAGUAGCAAUCACCUCGCUCAGGGCGUGCUGCGGGUUCCGGCCGUUAAACAGCCUUACAAAACCCAAGGUUGACCUCGGAUCAGGUAGGAAGACCCGCUGAACUUAAGC
rnacentral:misc_RNA from 1 species